CUACGGGCGGCAGCAGUGGGGGAUAUUGCACAAUGGGCGAAAGCCUGAUGCAGCAACGCCGCGCGAAGGAAGACGGUUUUCGGAUUGUAAACUUCUAUCAGCAGGGAAGAAAAUGACUGUACCUGACUAAGAAGCCCCGGCUAACUACGUGCCAGCAGCCGCGGUAAUACGUAGGGGGCAAGCGUUAUCCGGAAUUACUGGGUGUAAAGGGUACGUAGGCGGCUGAUCAAGUCAGAUGUGAAAGCCCGGAGCUCAACUCCGGGACUGCAUUUGAAACUGGUCGGCUAGAGUGCAGGAGAGGAAAGUGGAAUUCCUAGUGUAGCGGUGAAAUGCGUAGAUAUUAGGAAGAACACCAGUGGCGAAGGCGGCUUUCUGGACUGUAACUGACGCUGAGGUACGAAAGCGUGGGGAGCGAACAGGAUUAGAUACCCUGGUAGUC
rnacentral:rRNA from 1 species